rnacentral:rRNA from 1 species
UACAUAGGGGGCUAGCGUUGUCCGGAAUCAUUGGGCGUAAAGCGCGUGUAGGCGGUCCGGUAAGUCCGCUGUGAAAGUCGAGGGCUCAACCCUCGAAUGCCGGUGGAUACUAUCUGUCUUGAAUACUUUGGAGGUAAGCGGAAUAUGUCAUGUAGCGGUGAAAUGCUUAGAUAUGGCAUAGAACACCAAUUGCGAAGGCAGCUUACUACACAGUCAUUGACACUGAGGCACGAAAGCGUGGGGAUCAAACAGG